GAAAUGCGAUAAGUAAUGUGAAUUGCAGAAUUCAGUGAAUCAUCGAAUCUUUGAACGCACAUUGCGCCCGCCAGUAUUCUGGCGAGCAUGCCUGUUCGAGCGUCAUUUCAACCAUCAAGCUCUGCUUGCGUUGGGGAUCCGCGGCUGCCCGCGGUCCCUCAAAAACAGUGGCGGGCUCGCUAGUCACACCGAGCGUAGUAACUCUACAUCGCUAUGGUCGUGCGGCGGGUUCUUGCCGUAAAACCCCCAAUUUCUAAGGUUGACCUCGGAUCAGGUAGGAAUACCCGCUGAACUUAAGC
rnacentral:misc_RNA from 1 species